AGAUGGCACCGAUCCUGAGGCAAGAGUACUAACAUUUGUCCUUUAAUUGGCUUGAUGAUCCAAGUUGGGCAUUUGAAGAAACACAUCCGUCUUUCCCUAUUGCUUUGUGCUAUGUGGUAAAAAAAACAACAAAAAACCUAAAAUGCAAGAAGAGAAGCGGAAGAAGGCAAAAAACCUCACACACCACAGACAAACCCAAUUCAACUCCAAAUAUCACCCAACCACCCAUCUCAGAAGAAUAAAACCACAGAACACAGCAGAAUCGACUGCCUCUGUGAGUGUUUGGGCAGUCCGGUGGGAUAAAAAAGCAGGCAGAAACAAGCUCAGCGCAAUGGGCAGAGAACAGGGAAGGAUCCUGUGGAAAGGAGAGCAUUGGUAGUCUAGCAAAAAGCUCUGACGGAAAAAUCCCCAACAUUGAUUCCCAUAUGCCUGUGACUGGCAUAAAUAAAAGUUGAAUCUGAAGAUCUCUGCCUUAUGAUAACAAUCCCUUGAGCAAAAGAAAGACACAGUAAAAUCUCCAAUCCUUUUUUCAUCCUUGCAGUAAGACCGGGGUGAGAAUUCAGUCAUCUUGGGAGGAAGUUAAAAUACUACACACCAGGAUGGCAAGGACUGUGAGAACCCUCUAGUGGGAAAGACCACACUCAAUAAACAUAGUCUGGAAUAUUCUCUUAUUUCUCACCCACACUCUCCAUAGCCAGUUGAAUGGAAGGACUCAAGAUAAUGGGUUCCAAGUAGGGAAAAUGUUUUCUGGAAUAGCAGGGAGCAUGGGAGCGAUGAAUCCUAACCUUGAGGAUAUAGCACCAAACCAAAAUGGUCUUGAAGAUACCCAUGAAGUUGGAAGGCUGGGAACUGAGCGGUUUCUCCUCUGGCAUCAGGAGACAUAAGCAGGUGGCUCAGCUUCUUGAGCUGCCUGACCCAAGGUGGGGGUGGGGAGACCCAUUGUGAGGAGUUGAUGAAUUCCAGGGGGCUUCUAACCAUCCUUGGCAUUCCAGGAACAACAGAAUAGAGGAAAGCAUUGAAGAGGAAAGCCUAAAAUUAUACUAGCCCAUUAAUAAUGAGACCAUUCUUAGAUGGUUUUUUAAAAUUAAUACUCAAACAGAUAUUGAUAUCUCCAAACUCAACGCAGACCACUGAUAUCUAACUCUGUUACAAGGCUGGGAAGCUUGCAUGGGCACUGCUCCUUCGAGCUCUCAGAAAGCCUUGUGUUCCGCAGUGACAUGGCUUAGAAAGGGGCGAAUCCACCUGUGCGUUUGUGAAGGGGACUUUUGCCACUAACUCAACCAGGAGGUCUGAGGGGAAGGCUGGAGCAGGGAGUUGCCUCAGAGAAUCUUGGGGCUAAAAAAAUCUCUUGCUAUACCCUCUAGUAUAAGUCCCAGCCCUUGGAAGUUAGUGCCAGGUCAAGAGAAUCAAGUUACUGGUCUGGGACUCUGUGAAGCCAGAGCUGCUUAGGAAAAGUCUCUCAGUGAGUGUAAGUUUGGAGAAGGAAUCGAGGAAUCCAAGGAAAGGAAUCAAGAAGGAAACAAGAGUUCAGAGGACUUGCAUUUCCCUUCUACUGCAUCUUCUUCCCUCCCUCCCCAUCGAGUAUUUUGGCUGAACUUAGUGUUGCUUUGUACUUUCCUCCUUUGCCGAGAAAAACCUUAAGAACCUUCCACUAGGCUUAGAUUUAACCACAACCCUUACUGAAUCUGACUUAUGAAAACCAGACUUCUCUGAGAGACGGGGUCUUCUGGCAGCAAUUAGUCUGACUUUUCUUUAACAAAAUUCUUUGUAAUGCCAUUCAGAAAAUGGUCGGUAGGAGUUUGUGGCAGGG